rnacentral:lncRNA from 1 species
GGAGGAGGAAAAGCAGAAGAGGAAAUGAACAGGAAAAUGGCACAGCUGACAGAUCACUUCUCGUGGAACGCCUGCUUCAGGAAGUGCGGUGCCUGUCCCCUCCAGGAGGAUAUGAGCAUGUGAUGACCAGAGGGAAGGUGACAUCGUCCUCUGGCCCCACCAGACUCGACUGUGGACCCGUCUCCGCUGUGAGCCUCAGACACUGGAAUAUGGCCCCCUCACAUUUCAGAAGUGACAGAGACCAGUAACAUCAAUGAAAUUCGCCACGUCUGCAUCUUGAGUUCAUAUUUUACCAGUGAUGCCACAACUUCUGUACGGCAGCUAUCAUGAACUAUUUAUUACCUGAAGACAAAGCAAUGAGCUGAACAAUCUGAACUUGUUUUACCAUCACUACCCUUACACUGUUGGCGUCCUGUACAUUAUUGACAAAGAAGACAGAAGCAAGAGAAACGAGCAACAAAAACUUAAUGAAAAACAGAAGAAUCACAUGCAAUAGAAUUUUGAUUCAUAUUCCACAACCCCAAAUACUGGACUGAAUGAUAAGGAUGAAGUACCUCAAGAGGACGCAGAUUAAUACAUAAAAAAUGACGCAGCAGGACUUUCUGUUCAUUCUUAGAAGACACAUGGAUUUUCUUUGCAGCACAGCUAGCUUAACUGCCUCUCAUUAUUUAUUGAUUUUUCUAUUUUCUGGUUUUCAUCCACUUAAAUAGCACAAGAUUAA